rnacentral:rRNA from 1 species
UACGUAGGCAGCAAGCGUUGUUCGGAGUUACUGGGCGUAAAGGGUGUGUAGGCGGUUCUUUAAGUUUGGUGUGAAAUCUCCCGGCUCAACCGGGAGGGUGCGCCGAAUACUGAGGGACUAGAGUGUGGGAGAGGAAAGUGGAAUUCCUGGUGUAGCGGUGAAAUGCGUAGAUAUCUGGAGGAACACCGGUGGCGAAGGCGGCGUUCUGGACUGCAACUGACACUGAAAAACGAAAGCCAGGGGAGCAAACGGGG